ACCAUAUCAUAUUUGACCUCUUGCAUCUAGAGAGGUAUAGACAGAUGAUGUACAAGGGGAAUCAGUCUUUAAUAAACUGGCCUGUGUUAACCCAUAGAGAUACUUGUCCAACCAUCGUGAAGUCUCCAGGGAAGUCCGAAGAUAGAGGACAGUAGAAACAGAGCAAGUAUUUCUGAGAAAACUAAGGAUAAGAAAGUCUAUGUAUGAAGCCCAAGUAAUUAGGCCUAAAAAUAUUCUGUUCAUAUCAAGAGCUUUGAGCCUAUCAUGGACAUUUAGUAUCUUUGCUGAUCCCUUUAUUCCAUUGUAUCACUUUUUUUCUGUGUCCUGCAGAAUGCCUAGCAGAUUCUUUCAUGAAGCAGGAACCCCGAAGGACCUUCUCAAGUUUAGACAAGUUCAGCAGUCAUUUCUCUGUGGGUCCUACAUUCCAGUUAAGCAGUUCAGGAGUGAUUGUUUAGAGUUGUAAUCAUCAUUUUGCAUCUAACAUGAAGCAAUCAACAGCUGUUUUCACCUGUCUUUUCAGGGAGGUGACACUAGUGACAGAGUGGUUUGCUUCUGAAGGGGUUAAGACUGAAAGAUUGAACACCAUGGUGGUCCCACCUAUUAAUUGUUGA